rnacentral:lncRNA from 1 species
GUCUGCCUGAAUACUCAAUAGGGAGCAAUUUAAAUAACCAAAGUAACCAAGGGUCCAAGCACUCGGAGAUGUUUGCAAAAGCACCGCAUCACCUUACACGCAGACUAUAUAAUCUUAUAGGAAGCAUGAUUCACAACUUGAACGAUCGACUUGUAUAGUUCUCUUUAGUUUCAAAUCUACGAUAUAUGCUAUAGUUGGACUAGGACACUACACUAAAACGAACAUAAACAAUUGAUGAGAAUUACUUGCCUACACAAUGGCGUACGUUGUCUUAAGCAUGUAAGUCUUAAACUGAUGCGGAGCAAAUGAGAAGAAGAUUUACUACAAAUUCCGGCCCGAUAAUUGCAACAUUUUACAUUACCGAUUGACCAAUUACGACUAGUUUUAUAAAGGGAGAGAAACCCAGGAAUUUUUUAUGCCGAUAAAAGCGUGAAGAAUUUUGAAUGGUCUGUAGCAGUGUGCUGUUGUGGCAAUAAUAAGAAAUCUUCGGUUGAUAGUAUGCAACUACUAGCUGAAAUACACAAGGAGCUAGAACUUCGACAUUUCGAAGGUCCUUCGCUCAAAACAUAAAAGUUCUCGUUGUAUUUAGUUUCAGGCAGAUGGUUCCCUAUCAAUCCAAAGCUUUAGUUCUGAAGCAUUUUAACGUUCGUUUACACUUUGUGUCACUUAUGCCUGAGUGAUGAAAUGCUUUCGUUUAUGUCGUAGUUAAAAUACUCAGAACCGUCGGCACUUGGCAAAAUCGAUAGAAAUGGCAUGGAAUUGCAUUUUCGAACAAGAAAACAAUUGUGGCCUUCUUGUUGACUACGAAUUUGGUGAAACACAGCAAGACAUGCAGAGAUAAGCGAGUCGAUACGAAAACAUUAAGCGAUAUUGCAAAAUUAACAUAUAAAUUGUCCACAGCGAAAUUCUAAUGGCUACACAUUAAACUCCCAUGUACGAAAGCCGAGACUGUUGUACACUAAAGUAAGACUAUAGAUCAUUCCGAUAUAGCAUUUAAAUCAUGAAGAUUUUCUACAGAACGUCAGGUUUACAAGCUUUGCCGGAUAUAGAGCAUUCAUGAGCGAACACAUAAAGAUUAAAGACAAAUUCGUGAUGUAUUGCGAUUAAAAUAUGGGUAGAAAGAUGGAUAGUAAUCCUAUAGCUAUACAACCGUAACGCCUAUAGGCUAUAAUUAUUAUAUAACGCGGGCUAUAAGUUUUGAAAGAUGGAUGUUAAAACAGGCUGUACACUGUCGUUACUGAAGCUAUUUAACUGGUUGCAAUGAAGGCAGUGAAGGAUGCUGUUUUGGCUGGUAAACUUAUUUGAAUGCUCUAUAAAGCAAUAAUAUAAACUAAGUCUACAUAGAAAUCCCUCAAUUGUAAUGUGGGAUUUAUGAACUUACCAAUUUAGCAAGGAAAUAUGUCCGUUGACGGUUUGUUUUGAAACCAAAGAAGAUUUUAUCCUUAGCAAUGCGUGUCCAGUUGCUUUAUCUUAGAUGAUCUUUGUUAUAUAAAAGAUAUAAACUACGCGGUAUCAAAAAGCACAGGUAAAUUAACAUACUUGAAUACUUCCAAUAUAUUACUUCAUCAACACUCGCCUUCAAACGGCGGCUAGCCUUGGAACUCCUAGUAUUUUGACUAGUAGCAGACACAUGUAAUUUGUUUUUUCCGCUGUGAGCUCACACGAUCUGUGCUGAGAAACUUGCGUGUUGUGGCUUGUGAA